rnacentral:lncRNA from 1 species
CUUGCCCUCUGUGCUCCAACCUUGCUGACCUCUUAGCUCUCUAAACAAGGAAACUUGUGCUGACCUCAGGGCCUUUGCACAUGCUGUUCCUGCUGCUGGAAACACUGCUCCCAGGCUCUUGGUACCGACAGGCUCCCUUCAGGACUUGGUGUAAAUGCUACUUCCUCGGCAAGGCCUUCCACACUGCUUCACCUGAGUUUAGUCUGUCUCCUCUGUUUUCUCCUCCUGGCACCUAGGACAAUCUCUCAUUGGUCUGAGAACUCCACAACUUCAUCUGUCCGUCUCUCUUUUCACCACUAGAGCCCGGCCUGGUGCCUGGCACACAGUAUAGAUUAUGGAAUAAACAAAUAAGCCUGUGACAUGGGCUGGCACCACUGGCAUACACACACACACACUCUUAUAUACACCCUCACACAGUUGGCACAGCACAGAACAGAGUAACAUCAAAUCCUGACUGCCUGGGUUCAAAUCUCACCUUUCCCCUAAACAGCAUUUGGUUGUACUGAAGCUGUGUUUCAUCUCCUGUUAUAGUUCUUCAAAGACAUGCUCAGGAUCUUGAUCCCACUUGCUAAAAAUUUCCAUGGAAAGCUCUGCCCUU